CUAAUCCAUCAGUAAUCGGUCUUAAAUCGAUCAGUAAUCUAAUCGAUUACUAAUCGAUCAAACUCCUGAGAGAGUUUGAUCGAUUACUGAUCGAUGACUUCAACUCAUAAAUCGAGUACUGAUCAAAUAUGAUCGAUUUGUGUUCGAUUACCGAUCUGAUCGAUUAGUUAAGUCUGGUUAUAUAUCUUUAAUUUCAGUUGAUCUGUAAUCUCAC
rnacentral:lncRNA from 1 species